AUUGAACGCUGGCGGCAGGCCUAACACAUGCAAGUCGGGCGAACGGCGGACGGGCGAGUAAGGUAUGGGGAUCUGCCUAAUGGAGGGAGCAAACUGCUGUAAAAGGUAGCUAAUACCGCAUACGGUCAGAUGAGCCCAGGUGGGAUUAGCUAGUAGGGGAGGUAACGGCUCACCAAGGCGACGAGCCCUAGCUGGUCUGAGAGGCUGAUCAGCCACACUGGGACUGAGACACGGCCCAGACUCCUACGGGAGGCAGCAGUGGUGAAUAUUGCGCAAUGGGCGCAAGCCUGAUGCAGCCAUGCCGCGUGUAUGAAGAAGGCCUUCGGGUUGUAAAGUACUUUCAUUCGGGAGGCGUUAUCGACAGAGGAAGCAACGGCUAACUACGUGCCAGCAGCCGCGGUAAUAC
rnacentral:rRNA from 1 species